GACUCGGUAGCUCAAUGGCAGAGCAACUGACUUUUAAUCAGUGGGUUGUGGGUUCGAGUCCCACCCGGGUCACCA
rnacentral:tRNA from 1 species